rnacentral:rRNA from 1 species
GACGAACGCUGGCGGCGUGCUUAACACAUGCAAGUCGAGCGAUGAAGCACCUUCGGGUGUGGAUUAGCGGCGAACGGGUGAGGAACACGUGAGGAAUCUGCCUUUCACUUCGGGAUAACUCCGGGAAACCGGGGCUAAUACCGGAUAUUUUCAACUGGCGGCAUCGCCGGUUGAAGAAAGUUUUUCGGUGAAAGAUGACCUCGCGGCCUAUCAGCUUGUUGGUGAGGUAAUGGCUCACCAAGGCGACGACGGGUAGCCGGCCUGAGAGGGCGACCGGCCACACUGGGACUGAGACACGGCCCAGAUUCCUACGGGAGGCAGCAGUGGGGAAUAUUGGGCAAUGGAGGAAACUCUGACCCAGCGACGCCGCGUGAGGGAUGAAGGCCUUCGGGUUGUAAACCUCUUUCAGCAGGGAAUAAGCGAGAGUGAAGGUACCUGCAGAAGAAGCACCGGCUAACUAUGUGCCAGCCGCCGCCGUAA